GCACACUGUUCACUCAGUCGUACGCUGCGUUUGGGGAUGGCGGCGGCGGCGGUAGCAGCGAGGGGCAGAUCCAUCAUGCCGUGCUGCGUAUGUGUUUAGCUCCAGAUUUUGUCUCUCUCUAUGGAGUCGCAUUAAAAGUCAUUGAAAAGAGGGAAACGCUGAGCCGCUUUGCUGGCUGACUAGAGUCGACUCCCAGGCCUCAACCCCUGCCAGUCAGCUCCUCGCGAUCACAUGCGUGUCCUAGCCCUGUCUUCCCUCACCCCAACCAGUCCCGGCAGAUGGCCG